rfam:Oryza nivara chromosome 1, whole genome shotgun sequence.
GUUGACUUAGGCUGUUGACUUUUUUCAACGUUUGACCAUUCGUUUUAUUCAAAAAAUUUAUAUAAUUAUCAUUUAUUUUAUUGUGACUUGAUUCGUCAUCAAAUGUUCUUUAAGUAUGACAUAAAUAGUUUCAUAUUCGCACUAAAAUUUUGAAUAAAACGAAUGGUCAAACGUUGGUCGAAAAGUUAACGGCGUCAUAUAUU